UACAGAGGGUGCAAGCGUUAAUCGGAAUUACUGGGCGUAAAGCGAGCGUAGUCGGUUAUUUAAGUCGGAUGUGAAAUCCCCGGGCUCAACCUGGGAAUUGCAUUCGAUACUGGAUAGCUAGAGUUCGGCAGAGGGAAGCGGAAUUUCUGGUGUAGCGGUGAAAUGCGUAGAUAUCAGGAGGAAUACCGAUGGCGAAGGCAGGUCUCUGGGCUGACACUGACGCUCAUGCACGAAAGCGUGGGGAGCAAACAGG
rnacentral:rRNA from 1 species